UACGAAGGGGGCUAGCGUUGCUCGGAAUCACUGGGCGUAAAGCGCACGUAGGCGGAUUGUUAAGUCAGGGGUGAAAUCCCGGAGCUCAACUCCGGAACUGCCUUUGAUACUGGCGAUCUUGAGUCCGGGAGAGGUGAGUGGAACUGCGAGUGUAGAGGUGAAAUUCGUAGAUAUUCGCAAGAACACCAGUGGCGAAGGCGGCUCACUGGCCCGGUACUGACGCUGAGGUGCGAAAGCGUGGGGAGCAAACAGGGAUUAAGAA
rnacentral:rRNA from 1 species